AUUGAACGCUGGCGGCAGGCUUAACACAUGCAAGUCGAGCGGAGUGAUGGUGCUUGCACUAUCACUUAGCGGCGGACGGGUGAGUAAUGCUUAGGAAUCUGCCAUUUAGUGGGGGACAACAUUCCGAAAGGAAUGCUAAUACCGCAUACGUCCUACGGGAGAAAGCAGGGGAUCUUCGGACCUUGCGCUAAAUGAUGAGCCUAAGUCGGAUUAGCUAGUUGGUGGGGUAAAGGCCUACCAAGGCGACGAUCUGUAGCGGGUCUGAGAGGAUGAUCGGCCACACUGGGACUGAGACACGGCCCAGACUCCUACGGGAGGCAGCAGUGGGGAAUAUUGGACAAUGGGCGGAAGCCUGAUCCAGCCAUGCCGCGUGUGUGAAGAAGGCCUUUUGGUUGUAAAGCACUUUAAGCGAGGAGGAGGCUCUCCUAGUUAAUACCUAGGAAGAGUGGACGUUACUCGCAGAACAAGCACCGGCUAACUCUGUGCCAGCCGCCGCGGUAAUAC
rnacentral:rRNA from 1 species